CCUACGGGUGGCAGCAGUGGGGAAUAUUGCGCAAUGGGCGAAAGCCUGACGCAGCGACGCCGCGUGAGGGAUGAAGGUCUUCGGAUCGUAAACCUCUGUCAGCAGGGAAGAACGGUCACUGUGCUAAUCAGCAGUGAAUUGACGGUACCUGCAAAGGAAGCACCGGCUAACUCCGUGCCAGCAGCCGCGGUAAUACGGAGGGUGCGAGCGUUAAUCGGAAUUACUGGGCGUAAAGCGCUCGUAGGCGGUAUGUCAAGGCAAGGGGGAAAUCCCCGCGCUCAACGUGGGAACGGCCUUUGAAACUGGCAAACUGGAGUGUGUGAGAGGAUAGUGGAAUUCCCGGUGUAGGAGUGAAAUCCGUAGAUAUCUGGAGGAACACCAGUGGCGAAGGCGACUAUCUGGCACAUAACUGACGCUGAGGAGCGAAAGCGUGGGUAGCAAACAGGAUUAGAUACCCUAGUAGUC
rnacentral:rRNA from 1 species